AACCCCGGAUCUAUCAAGCUC
rnacentral:miRNA from 1 species